CACGUAGGGUGCGAGCGUUGUCCGGAAUUAUUGGGCGUAAAGAGCUCGUAGGCGGUGUGUCGCGUCGGCCGUGAAAACCUGCAGCUUAACUGUGGGCUUGCGGUCGAUACGGGCAGGCUUGAGUUCGGUAGGGGAGACUGGAAUUCCUGGUGUAGCGGUGAAAUGCGCAGAUAUCAGGAGGAACACCGGUGGCGAAGGCGGGACUCUGGGCCGAUACUGACGCUGAGGAGCGAAAGCGUGGGGAGCAAACAGG
rnacentral:rRNA from 1 species